rnacentral:rRNA from 1 species
CCUACGGGAGGCAGCAGUGGGGAAUAUUGGACAAUGGGGGGAACCCUGAUCCAGCCAUGCCGCGUGUGUGAAGAAGGCCCUCGGGUUGUAAAGCACUUUCAGUGAGGAAGAACGCCUGGUGGUUAAUACCCAUCAGGAAAGACAUCACUCACAGAAGAAGCACCGGCUAACUCCGUGCCAGCAGCCGCGGUAAUACGGAGGGUGCGAGCGUUAAUCGGAAUUACUGGGCGUAAAGCGCGCGUAGGUGGCUUGAUAAGCCGGUUGUGAAAGCCCCGGGCUCAACCUGGGAACGGCAUCCGGAACUGUCAAGCUAGAGUGCAGGAGAGGAAGGUAGAAUUCCCGGUGUAGUGGUGAAAUGCGUAGAGAUCGGGAGGAAUACCAGUGGCGAAGGCGGCCUUCUGGACUGACACUGACACUGAGGUGCGAAAGCGUGGGUAGCAAACAGGAUUAGAUACCCGUGUAGUC